GACAGAGCAUGAAUGGGGGAGGGUCAGAGAGAGAGGGAGACACAGAACCUGAAGCAGGCUUCAGGCUCUGAGCUGUCAGCACAGAGCCCGAUGAGGGGCUCGAACCCACGGACCCUGAGAUCAUGACCUGAGCCGAAGUCGGACGCUGAACCGACUGAGCGACCCAGGCGCCCCAUCUCUGACUUAUUUCACUUAGUGUAAUACUGUCUAGAUACAUCCAUGUUGUCACAAAUGGCAAAAUCCUAUAUCUCUUGUAUGUUUUCACUGAAUGAGCGUUUGGUAUUAUGUCCUUGAUAUACAUUAAAAAGUGCUACAGGAAACAACCACAUGAAAUUUAAUUUUGCAUUUAAUGUGGAGAUAUGAUUUGCAUGUAUUUUCUACAUAAUUCAAUGUCUUUCUUUGGCACCCUUCCUGAAGCCAUUUUUUUUUUGAAGAACUAAGUUUCAUGAAAAGUUAUGCUUCCCUUGAGUAACUAAUGUUUUUCUCCUUAAGGAUAAUGACAAAUAAUAACUGUUUAAGUAUCUCUUUUGUUGUUGUUGUUUUGCCAAUUAGGAAGUUCAAGGAAGGAUGUGUGGUUCAACUGCAGUAUGAAACUUUGAAUACAUCAGUCGGAGUUAUAAAUGACAUAAACAGUGUAAACAUGUAGCGUCUCAUUAAUAAGACUAGAGGGAGUGAGCGCUGGUAGUGGUGUGACUGCUCAUUGGUGUCAUCAAAGACACGGGAUUUUUCUUUUGAUUUUUCUGCCCUACCAUUUUUGCCUCAUGUCUUUUCAGUCUCAUGCUUAGUGCCUCAUGUCACAUGAUGGCUGUUACAGGACAAGGCCAUAUGUCCAUGUUCAGUUCAAGAGAAAAGAGAAGGGAUGAGCCAGCAAGUUCUCUUCUCCCUGGCCAUCUCAAAAGGAAACAAAAUCUUUUCCAAAAUGAAUCUACUUAAAUCUCGAUGACAUUUCUGGAUCACAUGACUACCCAACAAAAUCAGUUAUGUUAACCAAUUAUAGUUAUAACAACGUAUUUUUUCUGGUUCAAUUUUUAUUAAUAUUUUAAUAGGCAACCUUAAAUCUAAGGAAUUGAAAAAAGUUUAAGUUAUGACUCUUGCUUUCUUUCUAUAAGCUUAGCCUCUAGUUGAGAGGCAAUUCAGGACAAUAACAACAACAACACCAAUAAUAAUAAUAAUAAUAAUAAUACAAGUCAAUAACACAUGAUGUACACAAGGCAUUCAUCAUGAAAUACCAAAUGAGUGAUCUAAAUAGUAAAUGUUAAGGGAUCCAGAUAGUAGGUAGAUAGAAGUAGACUAAGUCUAGAUGGUAAAUGCUGAAGGAUCCCACUAUGAUUUCGGAUGAGCAGGGUGGGUUUUGAAGAGUAGAAAGGGUUUGAGGUAAAUCUUACAAGGAAUGAAAGAGAUAAUUGAAAGUCUUCUUUUGUCAUUAAACCCUAGAACUACAUAUGUUCCACUGUAUUUUUUAUUAUCUGCAAAUCUGCUUCCCACAGACAGUAGAGAUUUUUGGAGUAUCCAUGACCUAUCAGCUACCUGAAAGUCAGGAAUCUAAUGAUAAGGUAAAAUGGCAUUAAAAAUGUUGGUAGCUUAUGUAAUGCACUAAGAAUAAGUAUAUCUAUAGGGCAUAGGAACUGGAUGACCUAGGGGGAAAGAGGAGCUCAGUCCAAUGGCCAUUUACUAACUGCAUAAUCUUGGGCAAACUGCUUAACUUCUUAAGCUUUGGUUUUUCUCAUCUGUAAAGUGAACACAGUAAUUUCCUCCACAAUGACUUGCAAUGAUUAUAGAAGCUAAUAUGCUUGAAAGUGUUGUGUAAACUUUAAUAAUGAGGUACAAAUUAUUAUUUGAAAGUGACACUAAUUUCAGCAAAAGACUUCUUCAUAUAGAUUUAAUUAUUAUCACUAUCAAAAUGUCCAUCUAACCAGGUUCAAAGAUUUCCAUUGACUUCACACUUGGUACUGGAAAUCAAAACUGUCAAGUCCACUUAUGGCAGGGCUAGUAAGCAUACAAGGGCCUCUGAAACAGUGGACAAAUAUUAGGUUCUUCCAUGAGUUGACUGAAUCCCCUCGAAGGCUUAGAGAAAAUUCUCAGAUGUCAAGUCAGUGGGGUUCAUUCCAGGUAUGCACAUAAUCUCAAGUAGAGUUUGCACCCAUAUUAAAAGUAGGUUUAAAAUGAAGCAAGAUAUUACCUUUCCAUUUUGAGAAAGUCUGACAUCACAUCUGUAAAAAUGGUAUGAACCUCUGAAGAAAGGCUUUGGCAUAAGGAUAGCAUGGUGAUGUUCAAAAGUGGUUUAAUCUCCCUUUGCUAGAUUUGUCCAUGGAAAAGUUAAAAAUGAUUUUGGAAAAAACAGAAUAAUGAGCACCCUGGAGCUCUCAUGCCACUAGCCUCCUCAAAUAACAAACAGAAAUAAGAAAAUAGCUCAUUCAUAUAUUAUAAAGAAACCACCACACAGAGCACUAAGUACUAAACAGGAUGCAGGAUUUUUUUUUCUAAUCCUAAUGCUGUAAAUGUGCAAUAAAGGGAAGAAUAAUACACAAAUGAGUUUAAAAUAGAACUGAGCAGGUCUUAUCCAUUCUAUUUUAGGGAAAUUCAAUGAAGUAUGUACUGGGUUUCUAAAACCAUUGUAAUGAAUGUUGCAUGGGAAUUCAUGGACACUCAUCCCAGACCCACCCCCACUAGACCAAGGGAAAAUCUUGCAGACCAUGAGAAGUUGCAUCCAAGUGUAUUGCCUCGCAUGCUUGACUAGCUGUUUUAAUGUUAGGGCUCAGCAUCAAAUUCCAGACAUGGUACUCAUUCUCAGUAUUGUCUGUUGACCUGAUAUUUAGCUGGAAUAAAAUAUUUUAAACAGAGAGUCCAGAUGGAAGACUGACACCAACAGUGGAGUAGUGUAAUCAUUUCAAUAAAUCUUAAGUGCAGUUUAGGCACUGGUUUCCUGGACAUCCUGAAAUUUACAAUUCUGUUUCUGGGAAAUAAAAUAAAAUUUUAUGUUUAUUACAUUGCUCUGUGACACUUUUCAUGGGUUAGUAAUUCUCUACGGAUUUCAGGGGAAUACAGCUAACAUGUUUUAACCUGUUCUUAGGUGCUUCCUAGGUGCCCAGAUCUUACAUAUGUCAUCUGAUUUAAUCCUUACGGCCAGUCCAAAAGUGUAAGCUUCAUGAGAGAAGGGGCUUUGUGACAUCCAGAAUUGUUACUCCAGGGCCUAGAACACUGUCUGAAAUAUAGCCGUUACUCAACUACCAUGUGGAAGUGUCUCUGACAGGAAGAGGAAGCAGGACCUCCAACCUUGGUGAGGUAAUGCUACUCAAAAAUCAAAUGAUGAGGUCCCAGUUAAGAUGGCUGCCUGAACCAAGUAUUUCCCCUGCCUUCCAAAAGCCCAAUAAAAUGAUCGCAAAAGACUAGCCCAGAAGAACAAAGAGAAUGGGAAGAACACCAAGAUAAUACCAAAGAUUUCAAUUAAUUUCUGAAAAACUGAAGAGGACAGAAGACUGUGGGACCUUCUUGGACCAUCUUGAGUGUACUUGUAUUCCUGUUAGUAAAUCCCGGGGCAGAUUUGUGAGGAGCUGGGCCUGAAAGUUUAGCAAGGCUCUCUCUAUUCCAUAAGUUAAUAAGCCUCCUUCACAAUAUUUCAUAGAAUUAGAGAAUUUGGAAGGGACAUUAGAAAUUGCAUUUCUAAACUCUGCAUUGAAUUGGUGAAGAAAAUGAGGCAUAAGGAAAGUAGGAGACUGCCCUCAGUAACCCACUAGUAACUAGCAGACCUGAGAUAAUUAACCAUGUAUCUUUCCCAGUACACGUCCCACCAUAUUCCACUGCCUGUGUCAGAUGGCCAGGAUUGCCAAGGCAUUCUAUCACUUAGUCCCUUUUAUCUUUCCAGUUACAUGUACCUCUAUCACACUAUUGCAUGAGGCAUGGAAGAAAAUACUGAGCCAGGGGUCAGAACACAAAAAUGCCUCAGCUCUGUUCCUGAUUAACUGUGUCGAUUCAUUCAUCUGCUUUGUAUUUGUGGGGGUAUAUGGUGUGUUAGGGAGUGGAGUGGACAAAUGGAGAUGGGGUUUUUAAUGUAUAUUUUUAAGGUUUUCUUUUUAAUUAAAAAUUAUAUACAGGAAUGUUAUUCAGUUAUGAAAAAGAGAAUGAAAUCCUGCCAUUUGCAACAAUAUGGAUGGACCUUGAGGGCAUUAUGCUAAGUGAAAUGAGCCAGACAGAAAAAGAUAAACACUGUAUGAUCUCACCUAAAUGUGGAGUCUAAAACAAACAAACAAACAAACAAACAAUGGAAAAAUAAAACAACAAACAAACAAAAAAAUCAAACUCAUAAACACAGAGAACAGAUUGGUGAGGGGGUGGGUGAAAUGGGUUGAAGGGGGUCAAAAGGUACAAACUUCCAGUUACAAAAUAAAUAAGUUCUUGGAAUGCAAUGUACAGCAUAGUGACUAUAUUGCAUUGCAUAUUUGAAAGUUGCUAAGGGUAGAUCUUAAAAAUUCUCAUCACACACAAAAAGCAUUUGUAACUAUGUGUGGUGAUGGGUGUUAACUAAAUGUAUU